rnacentral:rRNA from 1 species
CCUACGGGAGACAGCAGUGAGGAAUAUUGGUCAAUGGGCUUACGCCUGAACCAGCCAAGUCGCGUGAGGGAAGACUGCCCUAUGGGUUGUAAACCUCUUUUGUCAGGGAGCAACGCGCGUCACGUGUAGCGGGACUGAGAGUACCCGAAGAAAAAGCAUCGGCUAACUCCGUGCCAGCAGCCGCGGUAAUACGGAGGAUGCGAGCGUUAUCCGGAUUUAUUGGGUUUAAAGGGUGCGUAGGCGGAAUGCCAAGUCAGCGGUAAAAUCGCGGGGCUCAACCUCGCUCCGCCGUUGAAACUGGCGUUCUUGAGUGGAAGAGAAGUAUGCGGAAUGCGUGGUGUAGCGGUGAAAUGCAUAGAUAUCACGCAGAACUCCGAUUGCGAAGGCAGCAUACCGACGCGCCACUGACGCUGAAGCUCGAAAGCGUGGGUAUCGAACAGGAUUAGAUACCCUAGUAGUC